GGCACUGAGAAUGAAGAGAGAUUUAAAUAGAGAACUUAAAGACCAAUGUGACCUACUUCACAUUUUUAGUUGGGGUUUGCCCUGAAUUCAUUCUGACUACCUUUCAGUCAUUGAGCAGUUCUCGGAAAUACUGAGGGUAGAGGAAACAAACCGUGAAAUUUGGCUAGAAACACAGGGUUGUGAAAAGGGAGUAGUAGCCAGAAAAAUAAUUUGGUAUCUUAACAGAAGGCUCUGAAUGGCCAGUCAAGUUAUUUGGACCUUAUUCAUUUAUUCAUUCAGUGAAUAUUUAUUAAGCAUUCAUUCUGUGUCAGGAGCUAUUUGGAGGAAUGAAAACUCAGCAUUAAACAAGACAAGGGUAGAGAGAAAAAAAUCAACAAGGAAACCAACAAGAAAAUAUCAGGUGGUGGAAGGAAGACUGCAGAUGCUAUACGGAAGAAUAAUAAAGCAUUGCUGUGGC
rnacentral:lncRNA from 13 species